UGAAGUUCUAUUUAAACUAUUCCUUG
rnacentral:tRNA from 1 species